AGGUAGUGACAAGAAAUAACAAUACGGGGCUUAAAGUCUUGUAAUUGGAAUGAUGGGAAUUUAAACCUCUUCCAGAGUAUCAAUUGGAGGGCAAGUCUGGUGCCAGCAGCCGCGGUAAUUCCAGCUCCAAUAGCGUAUAUUAAAAUUGUUGCAGUUAAAAAGCUCGUAGUUGAAUUUCUGCUGCAUUGCUUGUGUCCCUCUGGGGUCUGUGCAUGUGGCUUUUUUCGGACGGAGUUUCUUUGUCUGAAUGUUUACUUUGAGAAAAUUAGAGUGCUCAAAGCAGGCUUUCGCCUUGAAUAGUUUAGCAUGGAAUAAUAAAGUAGGACUUUGGUUCUAUUUUGUUGGUUUUAGGUACCAAAGUAAUGGUUAAUAGGAACAGUUGGGGGCAUUCGUAUUUAACUGUCAGAGGUGAAAUUCUUAGAUUUGUUAAAGACGAACUACUGCGAAAGCAUUUGCCAAGGAUGUUUUCAUUAAUCAAGAACGAAAGUUAGGGGAUCGAAGACGAUCAGAUACCGUCGUAGUCCUAACCAUAAACUAUGCCGACUAGAGAUUGGAGGUCGUCAGUUUUUACGACUCCUUCAGCACCUUGAGAGAAAUCAAAGUCUUUGGGUUCUGGGGGGAGUAUGG
rnacentral:rRNA from 1 species